AUAUACUUAAUUAUUUAUAAUCUAAUUCUUAUUUUAUGUAAAUGUUAGAUUUGAGAAUGCAUCAUAAAGUUGGGUACACAGAGCCUGUGUGUUAAUAUUUUGAAUGGAGAAUGAAGAAUACUUUUAUUUUAGAAUAAUAUAUUUAUAUAUCAAGUUUUAAAACUCUAAAUUGUGUUAUAGUAACAUUAUAAUAUAAUUAUUACCAGAUACUCUAUGCCAAAGAUAUAGACCAAAGAAGUACAACUUUUGAGCGUUCUCUUGCUAUGGGAAAAGAGUAUCAGAGAAGGACAACAGCAUUAAUUUUACGAUCUGCAAUGUUAAAAAAUCAAAUUCAUGUAAAGAGUCCACCAAGAGACGGAUCCCAGAGCGGAGGAGAAAUGAGCAUGGCUCCGGGAAACAGUCUUCCGCCUCGUAAUUAGUCUCGCUCUUUGGGUGCCAUUCUCGUCCGUCGCUUCUGUUAGAAACGACUGUAAUUAUUGACUUUGUUAAUAAAAUUAUCGACAUAACGUAA
rnacentral:lncRNA from 1 species